GCCUUUUGCGGGGCAAAAUCGUGAGGGAUGGCAGCAGCCGCUGGGCCGGUUCACCCGAUUCCCAAAGCGGACAAUACCUUCUGGGGGACACUUUCUCUUCCGCUGCUCGGAUCGGUGGGGACUGUGCUGGUGACGGGGUGCAAAUCACGCAUUAGAUGGCGCUAGAAGGAGGGCCUCGGCCCUCCGCCUAUCCAGUAAGGAGCCGACCCGG
rnacentral:lncRNA from 1 species